rnacentral:lncRNA from 1 species
CCACCCCAUCCCCAACCUUACUCUCACAUUACUUGCUCUAUUCAUUUUCUAUUGCUAUAUAACUAGUCACCACAAUGUAGAGGCUUAAAACAAUAUCAUAUGGUUAUUAUCUCAUGACUCUGUAGGUCAGAAAUCCAAGCAGGCUUGUCUGGGUUUUCUGUUUAAGGUCAGUAGGGGCAUAGAAUUCUGCCUCCCACACCUGCCUUCCUGCCAGCAGUGUCACAUCCACAAAAAUAAGAUUCAGAAGGAGGGGGUGUGUACACUAAAGCUGGGGGACAGAAGGUGGCAAAAGGGGAGCCUGUUGAGAUAAAGAGACAGAGUUGUGCCUGCAACGUCCAUGACCAACACUAAGAAACUGCUCCCAAAGGUCCAUGGACAUGAGAAAGACUCAAGGAGAUAGUUAUAAUCAGGAAGAAAGACAAUGGCGAAACAAAUACGGACCCAAACUCUGCAGUCACUGGGCUGGGCUCACUAGAUAAGGGAUAUCCUCUGAGGCUGGGGCCAGGAUGGAGAAUCACUGUGCUGAUUAAAUUGCCGUGGACAAAACAAAAUUACUUCAUUGGAAUCAAACCAAAACCUAGCCAUGACUAAAUGUUCCCUACAUCUAUAAAAAAGCAAAACAGUGAGGAUCUGGAGGGGUAGAUAUGUUAUUAAAGCUAUGCGAUGCAAGGAAAACUAGAGAGAAAAAAGGAAACAAGGAAGCAAGAGACACAUGGGAAAAGGGAGGAGGAGGAAAUGGUGGACUGGCUAUCUACAGAUGCUCUAACAACUUGGCAGCCUGCUUCUUCAAACCUAACAGAAGAAUCUCUCACUCCUGACGCCGAAGAUUAUGAGUUUUAAAUACUGUAAGGUAAUUACGAGAGUGACAUAUCUAUAGUCUAUUCUGUUCUAUAUGCCCUACACUAUUCUAUUCUGCCCUGUUCUGCGUGAUUUUAUUCACAGUUGCCACAUUCCAUUGGCUAUAAGCAAGUCACUCAAAGAGAGGAGAUUAUAUAUUAAGGCUCUGUAUAAAGUGGUAUAUAUCAUUUUCUCUCAUUAAAAAUAAUUUUCUAUACUUGUGAUCAUUCUCUUCCAAUUCCUAAGGAUUUUUAUCUAUGCCUUUAUUUUUACUUAGAUAUUUUCAAAGAACUAUCUAGUUUUUACUAUGUAAUUAAUUUCUGUUUUAUCUUUACUCCUUUAACAUUUUUUUUGGAUUUAUGUAUAUUUUUUUCUUGUGCUUUUGAUUUGGAUGCUUAAUUCAAAUUCAUUUACCUUUGAUCUUUCUAGUGUUCUGACAAAUGUAUUUAAUAGAAACACACACACAUUAUCUUUCAGUACUGCUUUGGCUGCAUCCCACAGUUUUUUAAAAAUGAGUUAUUUUUUUUGGCCACACCCACGACAAG